GUUACCUACGGGAGGCAGCAGUGAGGAAUAUUGGUCAAUGGCCGCAGGGCUGAACCAGCCAAGUCGCGUGAGGGAUGACGGUCCUAUGGAUUGUAAACCUCUCUUGUCAGGGAGCAAAGGGCGCCACGUGUGGCGUUUUGCGAGUACCUGAAGAAAAAGCAUCGGCUAACUCCGUGCCAGCAGCCGCGGUAAUACGGAGGAUGCGAGCGUUAUCCGGAUUUAUUGGGUUUAAAGGGUGCGUAGGCGGCGCUUCAGGUCAGCGGUGAAAUACCGGGGCUCAACCCCGGGGCUGCCG
rnacentral:rRNA from 1 species